rnacentral:rRNA from 1 species
AUUGAACGCUGGCGGCAUGCCUUACACAUGCAAGUCGAACGGUAACAGGUCUUCGGAUGCUGACGAGUGGCGAACGGGUGAGUAAUACAUCGGAACGUGCCCGAUCGUGGGGGAUAACGGAGCGAAAGCUUUGCUAAUACCGCAUACGAUCUACGGAUGAAAGCAGGGGACCGCAAGGCCUUGCGCGGACGGAGCGGCCGAUGGCAGAUUAGGUAGUUGGAGGGAUAAAAGCUUACCAAGCCGACGAUCUGUAGCUGGUCUGAGAGGACGACCAGCCACACUGGGACUGAGACACGGCCCAGACUCCUACGGGAGGCAGCAGUGGGGAAUUUUGGACAAUGGGCGCAAGCCUGAUCCAGCAAUGCCGCGUGCAGGAUGAAGGCCUUCGGGUUGUAAACUGCUUUUGUACGGAACGAAAAGACUUCUUCUAAUACAGGAGGUCCAUGACGGUACCGUAAGAAUAAGCACCGGCUAACUACGUGCCAGCCGCCGCAGUAACAC